rnacentral:lncRNA from 1 species
UGAGAGAAGGAUGACAUGGGGAACAUGUUCCCUUCACGUACCUUUCUAAGCCACCAACGACCUUCCCCUUCUUCCUCCCUUCUCUCACGAUAAAACCCAAAUCCCUAGCAAAGGGGGAUUUCUCAUUCUCUACAAUUGGGUAACAAAUUAAAGCAAGGAAUUUCUGAGGCAAAAGUGAAGGAUUGGAAGGUUUGAAUUGCAGGGAAGUUAAGGUUUGAAGACAUGGGUGGUUGCAAUGAUUUUUUUAUCAUCUUCAGCGCCUGAGAGGAGGAGGCCAAAGAGAAUGUGUGAUUGUAGAGUUGAAGCUCUGCUUGUUAUAACACGAAUUUGAGGCAACCAUGCAGUGCAUUUUAUGGGUGUGGAUUGUACAAGGUAUUGUGGGUCUUGAAUCUCAUGUACUAUCCUUUGUUUCCCUCUAUUUUCUGGGUUAAUCCUCACAUUUGUUCUUCUUCAUUUCUGUGCAGGUAUACGAGAAUAGAUGUUGCUCAUAUUUUAGAUGGUAUGGUGAAGAUGGUCAUGGACGAGAUAAUAGGGCUAGGGAGAACAAGCUUAUUGCAAUUAUGGCAAGAAAAAUAGAUGAAGAGAUGAACAAGACGGAAAGAUCCUUGAAGAUUGCUUUGCUCAUUUGUAUUUUUGUGAUUAUUUUGUUGUUUUUUGCUUAUGAAAUUAAGUGAGGCUAUUAACUCACAUGAAGUUGUAGAAAAUGGUCAUUAUGUAAGUUGUUUUUCAAGUUAUAGAGCAUUUACCAUAAAUGGUAAUUACCAUACCUAAAGUUCUUAUAACUCAAUUUUUUCAGUAUCC